rnacentral:rRNA from 1 species
GGCCACAGCCAUAUCAUCCUGCAGCCCAAGACUGGUUGCCCACUGAAGCUAAGCAGGGUUGAGCCUGGUCAGUACCUGGAUGGGAGAUCUCCUGGGAAAACUAGGUUGCUGUUGGAA